rnacentral:rRNA from 1 species
GACGAACGCUGGCGGCGUGCCUAAUACAUGCAAGUAGAACGCAGUUGCGAACGGGUGAGUAACGCGUAGGUAACUGCCUGGUAGCGGGGGAUAACUAUUGGAAACGAUAGCUAAUACCGCAUACUACCAGAUGGACCUGCGUUGUAUUAGCUAGUUGGUGAGGUAACGGCGCACCAAGGCAACGAUACAUAGCCGAGCUGGGGGGGGUGACGGCCAAACUGGGACCUGGACACGGCCCAUGAUCCUACGGGGAGCAGACGUAGGGAAACUGCGGCAAUGGGGGGAACCCUUACCGAGAAACGCCGCGGGAGAGAAGAAAGUUUUCGGAUCGUAAAACUCGGUUGGUAAGGGAGCGGUACUUAAACAGAAAGGGACGGCUAACUACGUGCCAGCAGCCGCGGUAAUAC